CCCUAUGGGGUGCAGCAGGCGGUCGUCUAAGUCAGAGGUGAAAAUUCUACGGCUCAACCGAGAACCUGCCUCUGAUACUGGACGACUUGAGUGCGGAAGGGGAGCGUGGAAUUCCUGGUGUAGCGGUGAAAUGCGUAGAUAUCAGGAGGAACACCGGUGGCGAAGGCGACGCUCUGGUCCGUAACUGACGCUCAUGCACGAAAGCCAGGGGAGCGAACG
rnacentral:rRNA from 1 species